CAGCUGUGAUUCGGGGGGUGACUGUGAGUGUCUCUGCUCGGCCAUUGCCACGUAUGCAGAUGAGUGUGCCCGGCAUGGGCUCUUUGUGCGCUGGCGCAGCCAGGAGCUCUGCCGUGAGUGUGCCCUGCCCUGGGUCCCCGAUGCCCAAUCCCACCGCCCAUUCCGCUCCUUCAUGGGUGCUCCUCCUGGCCUGCCAGCAAGCCAUGCAUUCAAGGGCAAAUAUGUGUGGUGUUCACGCUGUCAUAGAUGAACCAGACGGGCAAGGUUGCUUUCCUGUAGAACUGUCAUGUUGCCAACGGCCUUGGGAGGGGCUCAGCAAGAGUCUACACCGUGCCCCCCUGCCGUGCCCUCCAUGAGUAUCCGCUCGGGCUGGCUCGCCUGCUUGUUGCAUCCUGGUGCCGUCGCACCUCAGUGACCCAAGCCUCUCUCUUCUCCACCCAGCCCUGCAGUGUGAAGGGGGCCAGGUGUAUGAGGCCUGUGGCCCCAUAUGCCCCCCCACCUGCCAUGACCAUGGUCCUGAACCUGGAUGGCACUGCCAGGCUGUCGCCUGCGUGGAGGGCUGCUUCUGCCCCGAGGGGACUCUGCUCCACGGUGUGUAGGGUCAGAAGAGGCAGAGGGGAGGGGAUCCUGGGAGGGAGAAGAGAGCCACAAGGCCCGGGUGACAAGGCUGGCACUAGGGGCCGCUGUGCCCCUUUUGCUCCAGUCUUACCCUCUGUGAUCCCAGGAGGAGUCUGCCUAGAGCCAGCUUCCUGCCCCUGUGAGUCAGGGGGCAGCUUUUUCCCCCCGGGGACUGUGCUGCAGAAGGACUGUGGGAACUGGUGAGUGCGGAGGGGGGGUGGCUCAGGGGAGCCCCAUGCCCCCGAGUUGCCAAAGCCCAGCGCUGUGGCUGAUCCCGGGACGCUGUGUGCUCAGCACAUGCCAGGAAAGUCAGUGGCUUUGCGGGAGUGGCAGGACCCGCUGUGAGGAGCCGGUGCCCGGCUGUGUGGAGGGAGAGGCCCCGUGCCAGGAGAGUGGGCACUGUGUGCCCCACGGGUGGCUUUGUGACAACCAGGAUGACUGUGGCGAUGGCUCGGACGAGGAGGGUGAGUGUCCUCGUCUGUGGGGGGCAGUGACCGAGUGAUGGGUCUCUCCUGCUGUGCGGGUGUCUCCUACGCGAAACUGAACGGCUUCCUGAGCUGCUGCUCACAUCGCCGGCAGCGAUGGCUGGUGGGCAGGGCUGUUCUGGUCUUUCCAGGGUCAGGGGCUUCUCUAGGACCCUUUGUCAUCUGGCCCCUGCCUGCUUGCCCCAUGCCAGGCUGUGCCACCCCAGGCUGUGGGGAGGGGCAGAUGUCUUGCAGCUCCGGCCGCUGCCUGCCCCUGGCCCUGCUCUGUGACGGGCGGGACGACUGUGGAGAUGGGACGGAUGAGCAGGGCUGCCCGUGCCCCCACGACUCGCUGGCCUGUGCUGAUGGGCGCUGCCUGCCCCCCGCCCUGCUCUGUGACGGACAUCCCGACUGUCCCGACGCUGCCGAUGAGGAGGCCUGUCUGGGUGGGUGGUCUCCGCUCUGGACUCCAGUCCACAAGGCACCCCCCUCCCAAAGGCUUGUCUUGUGAGCCCCAACCUUCCUGCCUCCCCUCCUCCACCAAUUCAGGCUCCUGCUGGGAAGCCGGCACCUGUAAUGUAUGCACAGGGGCACCCCAAACAGUGGGAUUACAGGGCAGCGUUUGGGACCAGCUCCUCCUUUCUCUGGCUGCAGGGCAGCUGAAUUGCACUCCUGGGGAGGUGACCUGUGUCGAUGGCACCUGCGUGGGGGCCAUCCUGCUGUGUGACGGAACCUGGGACUGCCCAGAUGGAGCCGAUGAGGGACCCGGGCACUGCCCCUUCCUUUCGCUGCCCACUCCCCCGGCUGGCACUUUGCCGGGCCCCUCCGCUGGCUCUGGGGAGACUGCACCAACUCCCCUGGCCAGUGCCAGCCCUGGUGAGUGUCCUGGACGAAAAGGGGUAAGAAAACUGCAGUCCCGAGGCCUGGGACAGAAGAGUGGGGAGGGCGCCUCAGAGGGAGGCAUUGGGGCAUGGGGGCUGGCACAGACGCAGCCUCCUGAAGGCACCAGAAUGCACAAAGGGAAGGGGGUUUAAGAGGGACUGGAAGAGUCCAGAUCUUACUUGCGGACAUGCCCCCACGCCCCCAACCACUGAGGUGAGGUGGUUGGGGUGGUCAGUGGAAUGCCUGGACGAGAGGAGAGGUUUGGGGAAACCAGUCGGGGAGCAAACGGCGGGAGCGACCGGACGUGGGGACGUGGGGGCAGUCCGGGCUCGGGAAGGGGGCGGGAAGGGCGGGCACCGGGAGGCGGGCGGCGGCGGCGGCGGCGGCGGCGGCGGCGGCGGCGGCGGCGGCGGCGGCGGCGGCGGCGGCGGCGGCGGCGGCGGCGGCGGAGGGGCCGGGCGGGCCGGGUCUAGCGCGGGUGCCCGCCGCAGCGCCCCCCUGCGGCCCCCUCGAGUUUCCGUGCGGCAGCGGCGAGUGCGCCCCGCGGGGCUGGCGCUGCGACCGCGAGGAGGACUGCGCCGACGGCAGCGACGAGCGUGGCUGCGGCUGGCCCUGCGCGCCGCACCACGUGCCCUGCGCCCGCGGCCCGCACUGCGUGUCCCCUGAGCAGCUGUGCGACGGCGUGCCGCACUGCCCCGACGGCUCGGACGAGCGCCCAGAGGCCUGCGGUGAGAGCCUGGGCCGCCUCGGGGCCGUGUCUUCUCCCACCACGCCCCCCCCCACCCCUGCGGUGGGCUGCAGGCUAGGGAGCGACUUGGGGCUGCGACCUCAGAGUGUCCUUUGAUCUUUUUCCCCAAAUUCUCUUUGAAGACUUUGCCCUCCCCCCCCGGGAAAGAAGAAAGAGGCUUUUGUCUUUGCCUGCAUUUGGGCCAGAAGGGAUAAGAGGAUGGACAGUGGCUCAGCAGCGUGGGGAGUGGGCCUGUUUGGAGGGCUACCCCUCCAGCUCCACCCCACCAGACCUGGGAGUUCCCUUUGUGCCCCUGCAUGUCAGCCCUUCCUGUCCUAGCCACCUCACCCUGGGAGGAGGGGGCAGCUGUCCACCGGCUCCAGCGCCUCCCCAGGUCCCUCUGCCCCUUCUGGACGCCUCCCAAGGUGUCUUUGAGCCAGGUUCAGGUUCCGUGUAGGCUCAGCCUUCUCUUUGCCCUCCCCUUCCAGUGCCCUUGGCUCCCCCUGCCAACCCCUCUGCAGAGAGAGGGUGGGAGGGGCAGGAGCCCAACAGGACACUCUCUGGGUGCCCACAGGCUCUACCCAGCUGCCCCCCUGCGGUGGCCUCUUCUCCUGUGGUUUGGCUCCCCAGCUGUGCCUGAGCCCCGAGCAGCUCUGUGAUGGGAUCUCUGACUGUUCCCAGGGCGAGGAUGAGCUGGACUGCGGUAUGGACACAGUUCCCCUGAUGAAGGCCAAGGCUGGUGGGGGCUGGGGGGGGGGAGUUCUCCUCGUCUUACUGUUUUCUCUUCUCUUCCCCUCAGAGGGGAUGACAGCCCCAGGAGGCCCCAACGGGACAAGGGUUCCCUGCCCGGAAUACUCCUGCCCUGAUGGCCUGUGCAUCAGUUUCCAGCUGGUGAGAGAGGGAAGGAGGGAGGGAGGAAGGGGGUGGCACAGGCAGAGCCAUUGUGCCACCUGACUUGAAAGGAACUGUGAUCCUGUUCCCUCCCCAGGUGUGUGACGGGCAGCCUGACUGUGAAUUGGCAGGGACGGCAGGGCCUUCCCCAGAAGAGCAGGGCUGUGGGGCCUGGAGCCCCUGGGACCCGUGGGGUCCAUGCAGCAGGACGUGUGGGCCUGGGGUGCAGGCCCGGAGCCGCCGUUGCUCCCCACCUAGUCUCCCGGUGCUGCAGCACUGCCCAGGCUCUGAGCACCAGACUCAGGCCUGCUUCACGGCCGCCUGCCCCGGUGAGGGGCCUGGGGUACCCGGGAGGGCCAGGGGGCGGGCGGCGGCCCAGAGAGAGCAAGGGAGAGGAAGAUCACGGGGCUCUCAGACUGGCCUCAUGCCCCCCUCCUCCCACUUGUCCUGCCCCUUCUCCUCACAGUGGAUGGUGAAUGGACCUCUUGGUCUCCCUGGUCCCCGUGCUCCGAGCCAUGCACGGGCACCAUGACCCGGCAGCGGCAGUGUCACCCACCCCAGAAUGGGGGCCGGACCUGCGCCACGCUGCCCGGGGGCUCUCACGCCACCCACCAGACCAGUGAGUGCGAGGAAGGAGGGCACGGCUGGGAGGUGGCUUGUUUCUGCGGGGGACCGACCCACCGUUCCGAACCCUGGUUCUGAUUUUCUCUCAGGGCCCUGCCCUCGGGACGGCUGCCUCAAUGCCACCUGCUCCGGGCAGCUGGUGUUCUGGCCCUGUGCUCCCUGUCCUCUGACUUGCGAUGAAGUCUCUGGUCGGGCUGUGUGCUCGGCUGACCAGCCCUGCAGCAGCCCAGGUAAGGGCGGGGGGCGUGGGGCGGCUCUGGGCCCACGUUGUGGCCGGUGUGUCUGUGGAGCUGAACGCUCUGCAGGGAAGCCUCACCCUGGGCCUUCUCUAGGCUGCUGGUGCCCUGCCGGACAGGUGCUGGGCAGUGAGGGGCAGUGUGUGUGGCCCCGGCAGUGCCCCUGCCUGGUGGAUGGCACCCGCUACUGGCCUGGGCAGCGCAUCAAAGCCAGCUGCCAGCUGUGCAUCUGCCAGGAUGGGCGGCCCCAGCGCUGUCGGCCCGAUCCAGAUUGUGCCGGUGAGGCCCCACCCUUGACCCUUCCCGAGGGGUCCUUGUCCCCUCCCAGACUACCCAGCUGGGCACCCAGCCCUCCUCUGACCCCUGGGUCUUGGUUCUCCCGCAGUGAACUGUGGCUGGUCAUCCUGGUCCCCCUGGGCUGAGUGCCUGGGCCCCUGCGGGAGCCAGAGCAUCCAGUGGUCCUUCCGGAGCCCCAACAACCCCCGCCUCUCGGGCCAAGGUCGCCAGUGCCGGGGCAUCCACCGCAAGGCCCGCAGGUACUUGCACCCACCCCAGGGACCCACAGAGACCUUUACCUCUCACCUCCAGCGCCCAGGUAGGAAGCUGCUGGUGUGCCCUUUCUUGAGAUACUUCCACAGGUACCAUGGACUCCAAAUGAGGAACCGCUCCUACUCUGAGCCCUAUUAGUCUGAACACCAGGAUUCCCAGCGCCUCUUUGGGGGAAUAUCUGGCCUUCUUCUGCAUCAGUUUUAGGCUCUCAGGGUCCAAAAGAGGGGCAUAGGGAGCCCACAAGUCUAGGGGCAAGUAUGGGUCCUCCGGUUUGCACCCUGUGCCUCUGAAGGUCGCCGAAGGGAGGUACUGAGGGGGUGAGCCAGAUCUGCCCACCACGCCCCCUCUGAAAUGGGCUCCACUGGCUAGGGUCUUGGCACAGAUUGCUUCCACACCCCUUUCUUGGGCCAGUUGCAGUUUCUGGGGCGCAGGGCUGGGAGUCAGGAGAUAGGGAGACCAAGCAGCGCAGCUGGUCCAGGACUUUUCCCGGUUUUAUCAUUGAAAGUCCCGAGUCCUGGGAGACCGCUCACUCGGGGCACACCAGGAUGGGCUGGUUGCCUAGGCGAGCCCACUCACCCGGCAAGUGGCCAAGUGGCGGCCCUUCUUCCAGGUGCCGGACGGAGCCGUGUGAGGGCUGUGAGCAGCGGGGCCGGGUCCGCGGCGUAGGGGAGCGCUGGCGAGAGGGCCCCUGCGGAGUCUGCCAGUGUCUGCACGACAGCACUGUGCGCUGCUCCCCCUACUGCCCACUGGGCGGCUGCCCCCAGGUGAGGGGGCAUAGGGGCCUGGGGGCGGGGCAGUGGGAGGGGCAUUGUGUGGAGGCCAGGGUUUCCAGCGGCCCGAUAGGCUGGGUCGGAGGUUGGCAGGUGGCUGGCUCAGCGCGUCCAGCCUGACUCUUGUGUCCGCAGGACUGGGUCCUGGUGGAGGGAACGGGAGACUCGUGUUGCCACUGUGCCCUCCCUGGUGGUGAGUGGGUCUGGGGAAUGGCAGGGAGGAGGAUGGUGAGGACUCAGAGGGAGCCCCAGGUGGUAGCACUGAGCGGGGUGGGGGGAUCCGUGGCUACCCCAGCCCCGGCUGGGGGGAGCCUGAGUCCUGGAUACUGGGGAAGGAAGGGGCCCUCUGGGUGGAAGGGCUUGUCUCUGUCCUCCUGAGAUCAGGUCUCUUCUGUCUCUCUUGGGCUAGAAUUCUGCCUCCCGCCGAGGGUGCUUUCUUUUCUCUGGUUCAGCUGGGUCAGAUCUGGUUCCUGGCCUUUCUCCUAAGAGGAACCAAGACAAAGUUCAACUUUUUCAAGAGUAUUUUUGCUUGGAAACUGAGUUAUGAACGAAACAGAAAAACACAAAGGCGUGAAAGUGAAUGCGUUUAUGGGUCUAGAUUCCUGGUUCUAAAAGUGCACCUACAGGCUGCUGAGGUUAGAGGAGGGCCAGCACUCACAGUUGUACAGAUUGUUCACUGUGCAAGUUGGCAAGCGGGAGCUAGACUCCAGCCCACAGGGGUGCUUCCAUCCAGAGAUACCCUUUUCUAGUGCUCAGAAAGGUCUUCUAUUUCUAAAUAUUCAGUGGAAGUGAAAACCCCCAGUUCAUGCCAAAGGGAAGGAGAACAGGCCUUUCCUAGCCGGGAGGUUGUUCUGGGGGCUCCUGGAAAGUCCUGAGGGAGAAAGUGCUGCAAGAGGUGGGGAGAGGCCUGGGUGUGGGGCUUGGGGCUAGUGUGAGCCUAUCUGCAGGUCUCUCCCUCUUGAACCUUGAGCUUCCCCACACAGGUGAGAACCAGACGAUCCUCGCUAUGGCCACUCCUGCCCCUUCUCCAGCCCUCAGUCCCCAGAUCGGACCCCGUCUGGUCACCUACGUUCUGCCUCCACCUGGAGGUGAGGGCCAUAUGUGGUUGUAUGUCAGAGAGGAAUUACCGCCCAGGGUUUGCCCAGCCUAAGAGAGGAGGCAGGAACGCUGCAAUUUACCCCUGCCUUCCAUGGGUAGGAUGGUUAUCCUAAGGAUCUGGAAGUCAUCCUGGCUUAGGUUGCCUGUUUGACUCUGCCCUCUCUGGACCACCCUUCCAGCCCAGGUCAAGGUCAACCAUGGGGCCCUUUGCAUCCCUCAGCCCCCCUUGUGACUUCCUGACUAUGUCCCGGGCAGGCACCUGCCACCCUCUUCCCUUGCACUCCAGCCCCUCUCUCUUCUGCACCCAGACCCCUGCUAUUCUCCGCUGGGCCUGGCCGGACUCCCCAGGGGAAACCUGCAGCUGGAGCUCCCCACCCAGGCUGCCCUCUUGGGGGCUCCCACCAGGGGGCCUGGCUAUCGGGGCGGGAGCACCAUCGAGAACACUCGCACUCAGCGGCACACUCUGCCCCCCUACCUGCAGAUGGACCUGCUGCUGCCCAGGAACCUCACUGGUCAGUGCGGUGGGGGCGGGGCAGGAGGGAAUGGCGGUGAUGGGGGGCGGGGCUGGGGGAUGGGGUGGGGCUGGGGGGAUGGGGCGGUGAUGGGGGGGCAGGGCUGGGGGGGACUGGGUGGUGAUGGGGCGGGGCUUGGGACGGGGUAGUAAUGGGGGGCGGGGGCUGGGGUUCACUCUCUCAGCUCUGACCCCCCCCCCCCCCCGGCCCACACUCUAGGCAUCAUAGUGCAGGAGACUGGGUCCUUGGCCUUGCUGCAGUUCAGCACUGAUGGUCUACACUGGCACAACUAUAGUGACAUCCUGCCUGGCAUCCUGCCCCCAGCCAAGGUACUGCCACUAGAGCCUCCUGGGCCAGUGACCCACAUGCCUCUUUGCGAAUCCCACCAUCUUUGUCCCCAAGGGCCUUCCAGUGUCCCCAAAGAACAUUCUUAUAUUGGAGGCUCGUUGAACACCUGUCAUUAGCAGGGCGUCAGGAGCUAUCCAAGUGGCUCUGGCGUGGGGCAGGUGUGCAAAGCUCUGUGGAGGGAGGGGAGUCAGGGGACAUCAAGUUCACUGAGGAUUUCAGAGGGCAUGUCAAGAGCAGCUGGGACCCAGCCUUGCCCUGGAGGUUUACAUCCUCCCCAGGGAGACAAGUCUCAUGAAGCAGGAGGGAUCAGUCCACACCAUGUGUUCACUCUUAAUUCUUUUUUUUAAGGUUUCCCCCUCCCCAAUUUUUAAUUUUACUUCUUAUUUGAGAGAGAGAGAGCACAUGCGUGUGUGCAGAGGGGUAGGAAGGGAGGGGCAGAGGGAGAGGGAGAGGGAGAGGGGGAGAGAGAGAGAGAGAGAGAGAGAGAGAGAGAAUCUUAAGCAGGUUCCACACUUAGCGAGGAGCCUGAUGAAAGGCUCAAUCCCAUGACCCUGGGAUUGUGACCCUGAGUCAAAAUCAAGAGUCUGCCGCUCAACCAGCUGAGCCAUUCAGGUGCCCCUUCCUUCUUGAUUCUUAGAGGGGGCACUAGCCAGGCCCUGGGGACUCACCAGCAGGCACAACCUGGCCCCUGCCCUCAGGGCACCAGGACCAGAACCUACAGCCUUGAGGGACCCUGGUGAUUAAUGCCAGGAGAGUAUGCUUUUCAUGCCUUGACGGCUGGGGGACUCGGAUUGGGCGGGGGCACUCAGCAGGGUCGGGUGGCAGUCCGGAGAAAAGGCAGGCUCGGGUCUGGUGAACAGUCACCCCUGUUCCUGCAGCUUUUCCUUAAGAACCUGGAUGAAGUGGCCCCCACAGUGUGGAUGUUUGGCCAGAUGGUGCAGACUCAGCAUGUCCGGGUGUGGCCCCGUGUCCCCCACAGUGACACCAACCACAGCACCUCCCCGUGGGUGGAGCUGCUGGGCUGUGAGCCAGGUACGGGCGGGGCUGGCAGUGGGAUCGGCGGGAGUGGGAAGAGGGACAGACAGGAGCCCUCAGCCCUCCUCUCCCACCAGUGUCUCCGCUGGUGGUGCCCCUGUGCCCAGGGGCUGGGCACCGCUGUGCCAGUGGUGAGUGUGCCCCAAGGGGAGGCCCGUGCGAUGGCGUGAAGGACUGUGAAGAUGGCUCUGAUGAAGAGGGCUGUGUGCCCCUGCCCGCGGACACUGGCAGGUACGGGUGCCCAGCUCAGCCUUGGAGGGGUCAGCCACGGGAGAGAUGUCCUGCACUAUUUCCCUGGCCUUGCGUGCUGCGUCAGUGCAGCUGGGUGCCUUUGGAGGCCCCUUCCAACCACGGGAUUCUAGGAUCCUCUGCCAUUUUCCUAGAGUCUGGAGGUCACUGGUUCUCAAAAUGUGGCCCCUGGACCAGCAGCAGCAGCGUCACCUGGCAAUUGUUAGCAAUGCAGAUUCUCAGGCCCGAGCUCAGCCGGGCUGAGCCGGACACUCGAGGGUGGGGCCCAGAAAUCUGUUUUACAAGCCCUGCAGGGGGGUUAAUACGUUGAAAACCACUGGGAUAACGUCUCCUUUGUCUAGUCUUAGUGGGCGUGCCCUUUUGGAGUGCCCCAGCCCUGCCCUGCCCUGCCCUGCCCUGGGCCCACCUUGGGGGCGCUGACCCCCCUGUCCGGGUGGUGGCUCUGAAGCUGGGAGAACCCCUGGAGUCCCUUGGUUAUUUUUCUUCCCAGAGUCUGGUCCACAGCCGGGACCCCAACUCUCUCCUCCACCCAGCCCGGACAGCUGUCCCCCCAGCCCAGCAAGGUGAGUGGGGAGCUGUAGGCCCAGCAGGUGGGGUGCGGGGCAUGGGGAGCCCUGGUCCCAGGGCCUCAGCAGCCAUGUUCCCUCGCCCUGUAGUCUCCCUCUCUUCGCACCUUCAGCCAGCGCUGCCUCCCCACGUGUCCCUGGUCUGCUCUCGCAGUCCACUUCAGCCCGUGAGCCUUCCGGGGGCCAGCCCGGUGCUGGACUGGGGGCUGGAGGGCAGAGGGGCAGAGAAGCACAGGGCAGGUGCCUGGCCUGGAGGAGUUUGGGAGACAGGAGAGGCCUUCACCCCCAGGUGGCAAAGUUAUGCCCACAGGGCUGGCAACAGGGCAUCAGACACUCAGAGGUGGGAAAAGCCUUACUUGUCCCCAGGGUCCCCAGAGGCUUCCUGGAAGAGGCUUGAAGGAUGGGGCAUCUGGGGCAGUGGGGUCUGCAAUGUGGAGACGAAGGGUGGACACUCUCCCUCUGGAGAACAGCUUGGUCAGGGACCCAAGGGGAGAGCGACCAUAGUGCUGAAGCCCAUGUGUGUGGAUACUGGGGGGAAGACGGGGUUUGGGAGGGCAAGAGCAGAAGCAGAAUCCUAGGUGGGUCAGCGAGAAUAGCCCCUGGGUGUCAGCCCGGAGGUGUUGUAGGGAAGUGAGUCUCCACCCCCCAGCUGGGCCCUGUGCUGCAGGGACAGGGGAGGGGCCGUGGGACAUAGGUGCGUCCCAAAGGCAAUGAGAGCUAGGUCCCUAGUCUCAGGUGGAAUUGCCCUCGGGGCCCUGGGCUGUAUGGGCAGCUGACCCCUCUCCCUCUGCAGGGUCUGGCAGAUGCAGAACGCUGGCGUCCCUGGCGAGGGUCAUCUGUACCCCCCACAGGUAUGUACCCAAACUCCAGGCCCCAUCCCCACCCCCCUACCCUGCCCACCCCCUCAGGGCGAGGGGCUAUUACAUCUGGCCAUUCAGUCUCCUGACACCUGACAUCCCUAAGUGGAGCAGGAUUGCUUCUAGAAGGAAUACUUGGUCACCGUGGAGGACACCUUGGCCAAAUCCUGCCUCUGCCCACCCUCCCGGACUCUAGGGUUGGAUCCCCCAGACUGGUUCCCAGGGCUGAGCGUGUUCCCUGAAGUAUGGUUGCCUUCUCCAGACCCCUGGCCAGGACAGGGGCUCCCCGGGGCUGCGGGGUGCUGCCUGGCCCCGCCUGUGCCCCCUCUGGUCACCCAUGGAUGCAGCCAAGUACCCCUUUCUGAAGGGUUUGCUGGCCGCGCAUGUCUCUAAGUGGGCACGGGGAACAUGGGGUCACCAAGUUAGCAUGUUCCUAAACUGGACAAGGAAGGGGCUCCCUGAGGGUCAUGUACCAGCCUCCCUGGUAUAUGGACAAGGACGAGGACAAGGAAGGGGCUCCCUGAGGGUCAUGUACCAGCCUCCCUGUGGCUGCCUGACCUUUCACCUGCACGGUAGCCUGAGGAGAGCUGUCUUCAGAGCAAGGCCGGAAAUGGGCGGGGCUGUCAGCUGGCUGUGGCUUGGCUCUGACCUCCUCUUUUGGGAGACGUUGGCUUGCCUCACCACCUCCCUGGGCUCUGUUUUUCCAUCUGUAAGACUAAGAGGUCUCAGUUCGACCCCUUCCCGUGAGUUCCAGCGAAAGUCAUCCAGGAGCCCGGCUGGCCCGUCCUUCUGUGUUUUUUGUGAAAAGCAGACGAAGCAACUUGUACCAUCGCUUGAGUCCGCAAGAUGCAGGCUAUGUGAUGAAUUCUAACGUCACGCUGAGUCUGGUUCUCGAAAACUGGCUGUGUCAUAACGUUAAUCCUUUGUUGGGCAAUGAGAAUCUCGAACCCCCUUUUCGCUGUAGCUGCCAGGAGGUCAUCGGGUGCAGACUUGAAUGUCCCAUUGUGCUGUCGGUUCCUCUUGGAAGCUGCCGUGUGUGGCUUCUUGAGAGUAGGGUACAAAUCUCAGCUUGACACUAAGCGCUUUUAUGCUUUCAUUUAAAACCCUCUUGUGCUCCUUGGGCUACCAAGUUCCACCUCAUUUGUGGUCUGAAGUCCCUCAGAAGGUGUGGUGUGGUCUGUGCUCAACCCUGCACCACCCAAAGCCUGGAUACCCCUUUGGAGAACCCAUUUCUGCUUCAUCUCACGGAAGGGGAGCUGGAGGGCCUCACCUCUCUCCUUCCUGCACCCACAGGGAAGGGGCCAGUGACUCAGGUCCCAGACUCCGAGGCUCCUCGCUUGAGUCCUAGGGAAUCUGUGCAGACCAUGACCACCCCCCCCACCUCCCAGCCUGAGGCCAAGGCCCUGAGACCAGGAACGACAGCCAUGACAGAGCUCCCCCUGCACCCCAUGAGUCCAGUGGCCCCUGCUGGUAAGAUUCUACCGUCUUCUGCCUGCUAAACCUAUGCAUCUGAACAACUCCCCGUCGGAGAAACGGGCCCCUGGAGGUUGGCCGCUUUGCCCGAGAUCCCACAGCGCAAGGUCAGGGUUUUGGUAUGAUCAGGCCUAGGACCAAGUCUCCUGAUACAGUUCACUGUUUUUCCAUUAUCCCAAGAGAGGCGGGAAGAGGGGGCACACACACCAGAUGUCAGGAGGAGGGAGACUGGGGGCUGAGGGAGGGGGGACGUGGUGGGCAGGGUCCAGUCAGCUGGCUGCGAUGGUGCCCACAGGCCAGAGUGUCGCCCCGCCGCCCUUCCCACCUGUGCAGUGUAGCCCAGGCCAGGUGCCCUGUGAGGUGCUGGGCUGCGUGGAGCGGGAGCAGCUGUGUGAUGGGAGGGAGGACUGUCUGGACGGCUCCGAUGAGAGGCGCUGUGGUGAGUAGGGGACCCUGCAGGGCGCCCCGGAGGGUUUGAAGUCACGUGGGUAGCAGUGACCAAAGGGCUUUAGGUUUGGGGAAGUCUCUGCCCCCUAUUCCUGGCUCAUAUGGGAAGGAACUGUGAGGCGCUAGGGGUAGCAGAGAGUGAAAAGAGCCUGAGUGGGUAAAAACAGCUGGGAAUGCGUGUGUCUUUGGGGAUGGUGACGAGGGCAAAUGCAGUAGGUCUUAGGUCAUGGCUUGUUUCAUAAACCCUGUCUGAUUUUUGAGGAGACUCAUCUAUCCAUCCAUCCAUCCAUCCAUCCAUCCAUCCAUCCAUCCAUAUAUGCAUACGUCCACCCACCCAUCCAUCUACCUACCCACCCACCCAUCUAUCCACCCACCCAUAUAUCCAUCUAUCCAUCCAUCCACCCACCUAUCCAUCCAUAUAUCCAUCCAUCCAUCCAUCCAUCCAUCCAUCCAUCCAUCCAUCCAAAGUAGAUCACUGUGCUCAAAGCCUACUCUCUCAAUCAGGGAAGGGCCACCCCAGGGAGUAUGCAUUCAGGAAGAGGUUACCCCAGGGAAGGAACUGUUGUUCUAGACAGCUUGAUGUCUUUCUAGACCCCCCAGGAGCCAUUAACAAGCAGAGAGGCUGGGUGAGAGCCUGUGCAGACCAGAGCCCAUGAUCUCCCCCCUCACGUGUAGACAGAAGGCUGUACUGAGUGUGGGAAGCUUCAGGAGGAAGGAGGGGCAGGGUCUCUGGUUGACAAGUGUGUUCUGCUUUUGGCCCGAGGUUGAAGGGGCUCAGUGUAUCACCCAGUCAGGAAUCACUUCUGUGACUCCCUUCCCCUCACCUUGCUGGCAGCGAGCGCCGCGCCCUUCCCGGUGCCCACCGCGGCCCUGCCUGGGCUGCCGGCCUCGAAAGCCCUCUGCUCCCCGAGCCAGCUGAGCUGCGAUAGCGGGGAGUGCCUGCCGGCCGAGCGACGCUGUGACCUGCGGCCUGACUGCCAGGACGGCUCUGACGAGGACGGCUGUGGUACGGACCUGGCCAGGGGACACCUCUGAGGGCCCCGCUCCUGCACGAGCCCCCUCUGAGUCCUGCGCACCCAUCCCCUUGCAGUGGACUGUGGGCUGGCGCCCUGGUCUGGCUGGAGCAGCUGCAGCCGCAGCUGUGGGCUGGGCCUCGCCUUCCAGCGCCGGGACCUGCUGCGGCCUCCCCUGCCUGGGGGCACCUGCCCGUCCGACAGGCUCCGCAGCCAGCCCUGCUUCCUGCAGGCCUGCCCAGGUGACUGGCACCCAGGCCUCCUCAGGACCCCGCCUCCCCCGCCCCUCCGCCCCCGGAAGGGACACCUGGGGUGGAUUCCUAUCCGAGAGCCACCUGGGGGAGUGCCCUUGCGCUCUUGGGGACCCUGGUGUCUGGGCUCCUCUCCACGACUCUAGGGGGACAGCCCCUUCUGAAGUCACAGCCUCGUACCUCCAAAGGGCUUAGGAGGAAGGCUGCCCCUGGCCUUGCCCUUUUCCUGCCUGAGUGGCCCUGGAUGGGUUCCUACCCUCUAGUGUGGGGACUGGAUCGGUAAAGUUGUUUCCACUUCAGAGUGAGGGUGUUCCCAGGCUGUGCCUAAGGCCUCCUAGCCCUUGUGUUCUGCAGGUGCGAGGGAGUAGUCCCGACCUUUGCCUCUGCUCCAGAGAGGGGUUUCCCACACCUGGUCUCCUAACCUGGUUUUUUCUGCUGCCACCAGGAGGAGCCCCGCUCCAGUCUCCCCACUGCCCCAGCCCUUUUCCAGGGACCAGAGCCUUCAUCCUGGGAGGCACCUAGAGAUCUUUGCUCAAGUCCCUCCACCAAGGGGAGGUUUCCUGGGACAGGAGAAGAGCCUGUUGAGUCCCCGUGGUGCUGCCCUAGGCCACCUAGCUGGCCACCACACAGGCCCCUUCUCUACCCUGCCACCUUGCUUUCUCCAGCGCGGUCUGAGUCUCCUUGGGCUCACCUGGUCCGCCUCCAUCCUUUUUCCCCCCACAGUGGCUGGGGUGUGGGCUGUGUGGGAGGCCUGGGGGCCCUGCAGCGUCUCCUGUGGGGGUGGCCACCGAAGUCGGAGGAGGAGCUGCGUGGAUCCUCCGCCCAAGAAUGGUGGUGCUCCCUGCCCUGGGGCCUCCCAAGAGCGGGCACCCUGUGGCUUGCAGCCCUGCACGGGUGACACAGGUAAGGGAGCAGGGCUGGGCAGGGGCAUCCAGGGAUGGAGCCCUGUGGGGGUGGGGCUGUUAGGGAAGGUCACCGGGCCUCCUGCCACCCGCCCCACCUAGUGUCCCUCUCCCACCAGACUGUGGGCUGGGCCGUGUUCACAUCAGUGCUGAGCUGUGCCAGCAGGGGCUGGUGCCACCAUGUCCGCCGUCCUGCUUGGAUCCUGAGGCCAACAGAACCUGCAGUGGACGCUGUCUGGAAGGUGAGGCACACCCAGCAGUCAGGGUGCGGCAGACAGAGCCCUCGGGAGGAGGAUACUCACCAGCCUUCGGUCUCCAGCCUCCCCGCCCCACUGCCCCCCUGCGUGGGGCUGAGUGCCCUCCUGCCUCCACCCCAGGAUGCCGCUGCCCCCCUGGGCUUCUCCUCCAUGAUGGCCGCUGCCUGCCCCUCUCUGAGUGCCCUUGCCUGGUGGGCGAAGAGGUGAAGCAGCCGGGGGUGCCCUUCCUCCUGGACAACUGCAGCCGCUGGUGAGGAUGUCUGCUGUGGCAGGGAGUGCCUGGGUCAGGGGACCAGCCCCUCUCCACGCCCCCCUUCCCAGUCCUGACCUCCUCGGCCUCUCCCUCCCCUGCAGCGUGUGCGAGAAAGGGGUCCUGGUGUGCGAGCCCGGGGGCUGCCCUGUGUCCUGUGGCUGGUCAGCUUGGUCCUCCUGGGGUCCCUGUGACCGCUCCUGUGGCUCUGGGGUGCGAACUCGGUUCAGGUGUGCAGGACGGAGCCAUUGUGGCGGGGGUAGGGGGCAGGGAGAGGAAUAUGGGAGAAGGAAGGGAAGGGGUGCUGGAGGGUAGAGAAGGUGACGGUUGGAGAACAGGUGACCGGGAAGACAGGAAUGAGGGCAGGCAGAGGAGAGCGGGUGCCCAGGCCGCCUAUCCCCCCCAGGUCCCCUUCCAACCCUCCGGCUGCUUCUGGGGGUGCCCCGUGUGAAGGCAACAGGCAGGAGCUGCAGGCCUGCCACGUGGAAUGUGGGACAGGUAGGUCAGGAGCCCGGAUGGGAGCCUGCUACUCACCCCGCAACCCUCAUGCCUGCCUUCCUCCUCCCAAUUCCCACCCUGGGGACAGGGCAUGACCGAUUGGGCUGCCGGCCACCUACAUGGGGUAAGUGCGGCCUUCUGGUCCAGGAGGCAGCCCCAGAAGGGGCCUUGAUGCAUGGGGCUUUGUCGGGGACAAGACAGAGGGUGAGGCCCAGGCGGCACCCCCCCUCCCACAUGCCCAGCCCAGGCUGGUCUUGGGGGGCUGGGGUGUCCUGAGAGCAGGGGUGAAGCUGGUCCUGCUGGCCAAGUGAGUGAGGGUGGGGCAGGCAAUCAGGAGCACACAGAUGCCAGAUGAGGGAGCCCAGGCUGUUUCCCUCUUUCGUGGCCCAGGGUGUCCUCAGGCAGAGCAGGUGACGGCAGAGGUCUCUGCAGGCAGAUGGGACAGAGGCGAGAAUAGGAGUUGGGAGUGCGAGCAUGGGUCUGUGGGGUCUGGGCCAGGCUCUCAUAGCAGAGGAGGGAAGGAAGGGGGAAGGAAUGGCUGCUGGUGCACCGACAGGUGUCUUUGGCGACUGGGGUUUCUAGCAUGGAAGAGAAAUGAAGGAUGGGCGUUUAGAAGACUCUGGAUGCGUUGAUCUGGGGGAAAAUGUGAGGGUGGGUGGUGGACAUGAGGUGCCAGCCGAGCUCACGGGUAGAGUGUGGCCUGAGCUGGAGCUUGGCUGAGCAGGAGCUGUGCUUCGAGAGAGAGGCCUGGGCCUGGAGGUGGGGGGGGGGGGGGCUACCUUCCACUUUCGAGGGGCAGAGGCUUCUCAGACCUGACCCGGUCUCCCUCCCAGCUCUGCCAGGAACCCUGUGCAGAAGGCCUGUCCUUUUCUCCUCCAGAGACGCUGGGCUGGACGCUCUGGGAGCCCUGGUCCUCCUGCUCCAGGAGCUGCCUUACCCUUGGAGGAGGCCCUGGGUGGCGCAGUCGUUCCCGGCUCUGCCCCAACCCCGAGGACAACUCCUGCCCAGGAGAGGCCACCCAGGAGGAGCCCUGCAGCCCCCCUGUGUGCCCAGGUGUGCCCCCUCUGUCCCUGGAGUGGCCUGAGCACUAGGGUGGGAUGAGGAGCAAGGGAGAAGAAUGACCCCUUGGGCACCUGGGGCAGGGAGGCUAGAGCAAACCUAUUGUCCCGAAGAAUCUCCUCCACCCCCAGCCUGUGAUUCACAGGGUGGGCCGGGCCUGAAGGGACGUUUGGGACAGUCCUGGAGGCAUGGCCCUCCUGCACCCUGUCCCCUACCCGCACCUUUGCCGGCGUCCGUGAUGACGAACUUGGCUCUUCCUGACAGCGCAAAGCAUCUGGGGUCUGUGGGCUCCCUGGUCCACCUGCUCAGCCCCCUGUGAUGGGGGCAUCCAGGUUCGUGGGCGCAGCUGCUCCGGCUCCACCCCUGGGGACCCCGAGUGCCAGGGACCUCACAGCCAGACCAGGGACUGCAACACGCAGCCCUGCACAGGUGCCAACCUCCCCCUAACCCUUGCCGUUCUCUACCCAGCCACGUCCAGCCAGGCCCCCGGGGAUUUUGACCUCUCUCCACCCCACCUUCUCACAUCACUGACCUCUGGCUCCAGGUCAGGCCAUACCCUGAGCUAAGAGACUCCCGGAUUUCCUGUGUCUCCCUCCUCUGGCUCCCAUACCCUGAGGACCGGGCACUGGUCCCCAGGCUUUGCUCCUCCCUGCCCAAGGUCUCCUUCCCAGGCAUGUGGCCGAGGAGGUCAGACUGGCCUCUGGGCAGAACCACUCACUGCAGGAAUUUCGAGAAGCAGGGCCAGCCCUUCUUUAGAAGCCCUUGGCCCCAUUCUCCCUGUCCUUUCUCCUUUGAGCCCCCGCUCCUGGCCCAGGUGGCUUCUGUCUUCCUGCUCUACUUCCAAGGAUAUUUGUAUUAAAGUCAGGCAAAGCUAUGAAUCUUUACUGGCAACCUUUCAGACACUGGAGCGAGCCUGCAAGGGAGGGGGAGUGGGAGGGGUUUCCCGUGGCUCCUCAGUGCUGCUCCCCGACCACCGACCACCGACCACCGGCAUGUAGCUUCCCCUUGGCCCCUCCAUCCCCUGGCCCUUUCCUCCUGCCCAUGCUGAGACCCUCUCUGUCUGCCCGUCCAGCCCAGUGCCCAGGGGACAUGGUGUUCCGUUCGGCGGAGCAGUGCCGCCAGGACGGGGGCCCCUGCCCUCAGCUGUGCCUGGCUCAGGACCCUGGGGUGGAGUGUACCAGCUUCUGCGCCCCCGGCUGCGCCUGCCCCCCUGGCCUUUUCCUGCACAAUGCCAGCUGCUUGCCCCGCAGUCGGUGCCCCUGCCAGCUGCACGGGCAGCUCUAUGCACCGGGAGCAGUGGCUCGGCUGGACUCCUGCAAUAACUGGUAAGCUGCCAGCCCCGGGGGGNNNNNNNNNNNNNNNNNNNNNNNNNNNNNNNNNNNNNNNNNNNNNNNNNNNNNNNNNNNNNNNNNNNNNNNNNNNNNNNNNNNNNNNNNNNNNNNNNNNNNNNNNNNNNNNNNNNNNNNNNNNNNNNNNNNNNNNNNNNNNNNNNNNNNNNNNNNNNNNNNNNNNNNNNNNNNNNNNNNNNNNNNNNNNNNNNNNNNNNNNNNNNNNNNNNNNNNNNNNNNNNNNNNNNNNNNNNNNNNNNNNNNNNNNNNNNNNNNNNNNNNNNNNNNNNNNNNNNNNNNNNNNNNNNNNNNNNNNNNNNNNNNNNNNNNNNNNNNNNNNNNNNNNNNNNNNNNNNNNNNNNNNNNNNNNNNNNNNNNNNNNNNNNNNNNNNNNNNNNNNNNNNNNNNNNNNNNNNNNNNNNNNNNNNNNNNNNNNNNNNNNNNNNNNNNNNNNNNNNNNNNNNNNNNNNNNNNNNNNNNNNNNNNNNNNNNNNNNNNNNNNNNNNNNNNNNNNNNNNNNNNNNNNNNNNNNNNNNNNNNNNNNNNNNNNNNNNNNNNNNNNNNNNNNNNNNNNNNNNNNNNNNNNNNNNNNNNNNNNNNNNNNNNNNNNNNNNNNNNNNNNNNNNNNNNNNNNNNNNNNNNNNNNNNNNNNNNNNNNNNNNNNNNNNNNNNNNNNNNNNNNNNNNNNNNNNNNNNNNNNNNNNNNNNNNNNNNNNNNNNNNNNNNNNNNNNNNNNNNNNNNNNNNNNNNNNNNNNNNNNNNNNNNNNNNNNNNNNNNNNNNNNNNNNNNNNNNNNNNNNNNNNNNNNNNNNNNNNNNNNNNNNNNNNNNNNNNNNNNNNNNNNNNNNNNNNNNNNNNNNNNNNNNNNNNNNNNNNNNNNNNNNNNNNNNNNNNNNNNNNNNNNNNNNNNNNNNNNNNNNNNNNNNNNNNNNNNNNNNNNNNNNNNNNNNNNNNNNNNNNNNNNNNNNNNNNNNNNNNNNNNNNNNNNNNNNNNNNNNNNNNNNNNNNNNNNNNNNNNNNNNNNNNNNNNNNNNNNNNNNNNNNNNNNNNNNNNNNNNNNNNNNNNNNNNNNNNNNNNNNNNNNNNNNNNNNNNNNNNNNNNNNNNNNNNNNNNNNNNNNNNNNNNNNNNNNNNNNNNNNNNNNNNNNNNNNNNNNNNNNNNNNNNNNNNNNNNNNNNNNNNNNNNNNNNNNNNNNNNNNNNNNNNNNNNNNNNNNNNNNNNNNNNNNNNNNNNNNNNNNNNNNNNNNNNNNNNNNNNNNNNNNNNNNNNNNNNNNNNNNNNNNNNNNNNNNNNNNNNNNNNNNNNNNNNNNNNNNNNNNNNNNNNNNNNNNNNNNNNNNNNNNNNNNNNNNNNNNNNNNNNNNNNNNNNNNNNNNNNNNNNNNNNNNNNNNNNNNNNNNNNNNNNNNNNNNNNNNNNNNNNNNNNNNNNNNNNNNNNNNNNNNNNNNNNNNNNNNNNNNNNNNNNNNNNNNNNNNNNNNNNNNNNNNNNNNNNNNNNNNNNNNNNNNNNNNNNNNNNNNNNNNNNNNNNNNNNNNNNNNNNNNNNNNNNNNNNNNNNNNNNNNNNNNNNNNNNNNNNNNNNNNNNNNNNNNNNNNNNNNNNNNNNNNNNNNNNNNNNNNNNNNNNNNNNNNNNNNNNNNNNNNNNNNNNNNNNNNNNNNNNNNNNNNNNNNNNNNNNNNNNNNNNNNNNNNNNNNNNNNNNNNNNNNNNGGGCCCCUGGUCUCCGUGCUCCGUGCCCUGCGGCGGUGGCUACCGGAACCGCACCCGAGGCAGUGGCCCGCACAGCCUUGUGGACUUCUCCACCUGUGGUCUGCAGCCCUGUGCAGGUGAGGGCUGUCCCCACCUCCUCCACUGCUCCCGUACCCCCAGUAGCCAUCCCCCCCAACCCAGCGCCCUGUCAGCCCCUCCCUGUCACCCCAGGAACCCUUCUCCCUGAGCUGCCAUGCAGCCUGUGACCUCCGUGGCCACAUCUAGAGCCGAUGCCUCUCCUGGGUUAGGAGCCCGGGAAAGAGUUUACUGUGCCUGGGCUGGUUAUCAAUUUCUGUGACCCCAGGGCCGGUGCCUGGCAUGUGUCCCGGGGGCCAGCGGUGGCUGGACUGUGCCCAGGGCCCUGCCUCGUGUGCAGAGCUCAGUGUCCUGCAAGGGACUGACCAGACCUGCCACCCUGGCUGUUACUGUCCACCUGGGAUGUUCCUGCUGGUGAGUGUCUUCCCUGACCUGACCUCCCAGCGACCUGGGCAGGGGAGAACCAAGGGUAUGGGGCUUGAGAGUUGAGGAAAAAGCACUGAACUCAGGGCUCAUGGCUCAGCUCUGCCAGCAGCCAGCAGGUGACCCUGGGUGAGACACGGUCAUGCUUCCCUGGACCUCUCUUUUCCCAUUUGUGAAAUGGUGAUAGGUCUACCAGAUCUUUGUGAUUCAUGCCUCCUUGAGUGCUCUGUUGUGUUAUGUUAUCAUUAGUCAUUUAUUGAGCACCUGUUGCAUGCUUAGGCUUGCGAUGGGGGCUCCACCAUGGGGAGAAAGUAAAGUCCGCCCUCAUGAAGCCUCUGGUCUGGGGAAACCAGACCCAGAGCGCCUAGAAUGGAGGUAGAACCAUCCUUACACAGGAAGUGAGCUUUGCAUACUGUGGAGCUCAAAAUGCAGACUGGCGGGGACUGGGUCAGUGACAGCGGGCUUCCCGGAAGAGGUGAUCCUGAUUUGACUGUCAGAGAUUGCAGGGGGUGGAGAGCUGGAGGCGGCACUGCUGUUGGAAGGCAGGGAAGUGAGGCGGGCGCAGUGGAAUUUGGACAGAAGCUUGUGGGGUGGAAGGAAGGGUUUACAGGGAUAAAUUGCCGGAAUGUGGGGUGUGGCUAAGGGGCCAGAGUCCAGCGGGGUCUGAGUUCAAAUUAGACUCUUCUUCUGGCAGCCCUGUGACCUUAGGAUGCGUGCUCCCGUGCCUCUGUUUCUUCAUUUGUCAAGUUGGGGUAAUAAUGUGUCUGUUCAUCAGGGUCUCUGAAAUGAUGAAAGGGCCUCCCAGGGCCUGGCCCACACCUCACUACAUUUGACUUUGAAUCGUGUACUGAUGGGUGGCAGUUUUGUUUUUUUUUGUUUUUGUUUUUGUUUUUAAUUUGAAGCAUUAGCUGGGGCGCCUGGGUGGCGCAGUCGGUUAGGCAUCCGACUUCAGCCAGGUCACGAUCUCACGGUCCGUGAGUUCGAGCCCCGCGUCAGGCUCUGGGCUGAUGGCUCGGAGCCUGGAGCCUGUUUCUGAUUCUGUGUCUUCCUCUCUCUCUGCCCCUCCCCCGUUCAUGCUCUGUCUCUCUCUGUCCCAAAAAUAAAUAAACGUUGAAAAAAAAAAAUUAAAUUAAUUUGAAGCAUUAGCAACUUUUGUCCAAACUUCCUGUAUGCAUAAUUUCCAAACUUCCUGUAUGCAUGAUUUCAUCAGUUUUAAUUUUUUUGAUAUAAACAUAGAGUUGUUGUUUUUUUUUUUAAAAACAUCGUUGCUAUAUGGAUCACGUGUUUGGUAUUUUGUUAGCUGAUUUCAUGGGCAUUUGACAGUUCGGUCUCAUGUCCUGCAAUUGGAGAUGGUCUUUUUCCUCCCAGAGAUUGGGGGGGGGGGUCCAUGCCCCUCCCCCAUGGCUCCUGUAACUGCUGGCGCAGGUUUUCCACAGGGUGGUGACAGAGGUGUUUGUGGAAGGAGGCUGGGUGGCGUUGGAGGGUGGGAGCCUGAGGGGUGCUGGGUUCUGACUGCGGGGAGCGGGUUGGGCCAGACCCACCUGGAAUCCAGAAAAUGAUGGUUUUUGAUUCCAGAACAACGUGUGUGUGCCCUCCCAGGACUGCCCCUGUGCCCAUGGGGGGCGCCUUUAUCCCCCGGGCAGCGUGGUGCUUCGUCCGUGUGAGAACUGGUAAGACCCCCACCCCACCCGAUGGUCCCGUGACCCGGGGGCACCCUGCUGUCCCUCCUCAGUGCUGGGGAUGAUGGCCUCCAGUGGGCCAUCCCCCUGGGCCCACAGGCACAGCCGGUCAGCAAUCUGGGGCCUGUGUCCACACCAUCCCCACCAACCUUUCUCUUCCCACCUGUCUCUGUCUGCUGAGGCUGCAGCAACCACACAGCAGACCUGGGGCUUGUCUUCUGACAGUUCAGGAGACUAGAAAUCUAAGAGCAAGGAGUCAGCAGGGUGGUUCCUCCUGAGGGCCGGGAGGGAGAAUCCAUUCCAGAACCUUCUCUUCUGUGGUGGCUGGCGAGCCUUGGCGUCCCUUGGCUUGUAGCUGCCUUCCUGCAACCCGCUCAGGUCGUGAUCUCAUGGUUCAUGGGUUCAAGCCCCGUGCUGGGCUCUGUGCUGACAGCUGGGAGCCUGGAGCCUGCUUUGGAUUCUGUGUCUCCCUCUGUCUCUGCCCCUCCCCUGCUCGUGCUCUGUGUCUCAAAAAUAAAUGAACAUAAAUAAAUAAACAAGUAAAUAAAUAAAGACACCAGUCAUAUUGGACCGUAGUGCCCUCACUGUGACUUGCUCAUCUCUAUAAAGACAUUGUUUCCAAAUCAGGUCACAUUCUGAAUACUGGGCGUUAGGGCUUCAACGUGUGAAUUUGGGGGAAUACACUUCAGCCUGUGACAGUGCCUCCGAACUUCUGCUGUUUUCUUCCAGCUCCUGUGUUUCUGGGCUCAUCACCAACUGCACCUCCUGGCCCUGUGAGGAGGGUGAGGAAGGGGCCUCGCACCUGACUGUGCCCCCUGCUUGCUCCCCACCAGGGGCAGAGUUGGGGGAAGGGAGAAGGGGUGCUCUGCCCAGGCCAGUGCCUCCAGCCUGCGCUCACUUCAUCCUCUCUCUCUCUUGGCCUUUCCCUCGUCUGUACCCCAGGUCAGCCCACGUGGUCCCCCUGGACCCCGUGGAGCGAGUGCUCGGCCUCCUGUGGCCCUGCCCGACGCCACCGGCACCGUUUCUGCACCAGGCCCCCCACCGCGGAACCAUCCAUCCUGGGGCUGCCGUCCCCACUGACGUUGCCUACGCCUCUUUGCCCAGGCUCCGAUGCUGAGGAAGAGCCCUGCCUCCUGGCAGCAUGUGACCGUGAGUCCUGCGGUGCCCAGGAUGGUGCCCUCCAUGCCCUGUGGAUACCUGCUGCCUUGCGCCAGCUGGCCCCCAGCCCUGGCCGGCCCCUCCCCCAGCUGCUCUUUUGCUGUCAUCCCAGGAGCUGGGGGCUGGGGUCCUUGGGGGCCCUGGUCCAGCUGUAGCCGGAGCUGUGGGGGGGGCCUGAGGAGCCGGAUGCGAGCCUGUGACCAGCCUCCACCCCAGGGCCUGGGGGAUUACUGCGAGGGGCCUCAGGCCCAGGGAGAGGCCUGCCAGGCCCUGCCAUGCCCAGGUACCUGCCAGGAACGGGGCACAGGGGUCAGGGAACACUAUGGAGAGACGGGCUGGGGUGGGCGGCACCCACAUGGCUCUCAACCCACCCUGUCCCCUUCCCCAGUGACCAACUGCACCACCAUUCAAGGGGCUGAGUACAGCCCCUGUGGCCCUCCCUGUCCUCGCUCCUGUGACGAUCUCGUGGUGAGUCUGGCUCCCUCGGAAUGCCUGCCUGACCUCUGGCCCCAAGCGUCACUUUGCAGGAGGGCAGGGUGUGGCUUUGGGUCAUGACCUCUUUGGGCCUGGGGCAGCCUGGCACUGGUGAGGAGGGAUGGGGUCAGUGCCCAUCAGACUGGCUCCCCUUUGUUCCAGAGACCGUCUCAGGAGUGAACCUCACCCAGCAGCCCAUCAAGCCUUUCUCAAUUUAGACAUUUUAUUACAAAGAUUCCAUAAACACAGAGGGAGGGGAGAUCAUUCCAUUACAUCAUCUCAAACACCGUGAGCCUUUUGGCGCAUACACCCUGAUUCUGAGUGUACGUGUGCUUGUGUGUGAGCCUUCAUGGAAUGCCUGUCCAGGACCAUGGAGAGGGACAGAGGCAGGCGCAGACAGGGUCUCUGACCCACAGAGCCUGCAGCAGUGUGGCGCGGAAGCGGGCCUGAAUCAAGGAUGCCGAAGGGACAGCCUUGGGGCCCUGUGCAGGGCCCUGUCUGAGAGGGUCAGGCAGGAGCUGCACAGGGUGAGCUGGGAGGAAGGAGGACAAGUGCCUGGCUCCCAGCUUCCCCAGGGGACCCCACCUCCUUCCCAAAUGACUCCCCCCCCCACCCCCGCCCCGCCCCAAGCCAGCUCCCAUUGCCCUGCUCCCUGCGUUCUGGGAGAUGCCUCGGUUCCCAGACACUAACCAGGUCCCCCAUGGAACCCUCCACAGGAUUCACAUUUGGAGGACACUCCCACCCAGGGAAGCCCUUCAUGGGCUCUCUUCCCCUGGGGAGGGGACACGACCGAAAGUGUUUUAUUUUAUAUAUAAAAUUUUUUUAAAUGUUUAUUUUUGAGAGAGGAAGAGAGAGAGGGCAAGCAGGGAAGGGGCGGGGGGUGGGGGGCGCGGAGGACAGAGGAUCCGAAGCAGGAUCCAGGUUCUGUGCUGGCAGCAGAGCUCCCGAUGCGGGGCUCGAACCCACGAACUGUGAGAUCGUGACCUGAGCCGAAGUCGGACGCUUAACCGACUGAGCCCCCCAGGGGCCCCGGAAACCGUGUUUAGAACAUGACGAUGACUGCGAACUGGAGAACCACGCCUUCUGCCUCUGCACACCCCUCGGCCUCCUCCUUCGCCUCAUCUUUCCCCUCCCUGCCCCUUCGGCACAGUUUUCUGCUGACCGGAGCCCCCCCACUUGUUGUCCCCCAGCACUGCGUGUGGCACUGCCAGCCCGGCUGUUACUGCCCUCCAGGUCAGGUGCUGAGUGCCGACGGGGACUUCUGCGUGCAGCCCAGCCACUGUGGCUGCCUGGACCUGCUGAGCGGGGAGCGGCACCGCCCAGGAGCUCGGCUGCUGAGGCCUGAUGGCUGCAACUACUGGUGAGGCGGCCAUGUGGGCAGAAAGCAGGUGCAAGGCUGAGGGUGGGGUGUGCCUGAGCUCUCCCGGGUCUCAGCUGCCAUAGGUUAGACUCCCACAGUCCCCGAGGAGAUGCGGGCAGGCACUCUGAAACUCUGGUCUGACGGGUGGGGAGACCGAGGCAGCCAGCUCUGUGCAUCUGCUCUCUGGAAGACGUGGAAGGCUGGGUGUGUGCUCUGAGGGGAGGGCGGGGUGAUAGGUAUGAUGUUCCUCCUCGCUGGCCGGCCCCCGUUAGCAGCACACUGCCUGUGGUCACACCCCAGUAGGACGCACUGGUCAGCGACCUGCAGGGAGCCCGCAGGACACCCGAGAGGUCCCUGAAUGGGACAGGGAGAAGGGUCUAGAUGCUCUGGAGAAUGGCGAAGGGGCAUCCGAGAGCCUGAAGGGAAAGGAGGGCGUAGCGGUGAGGGGAAGGGAAGAGGCAGCCUAGGAGGGGCGCAUGUGGAGAGCACAGGCAGGGCUGAGCUGCUGUCCCCCUUCCUGUGCCUGCAUGCCCUGCCCAGCACCUGUUCAGAGGGGAGGCUGAGCUGCACAGACCUGCCUUGCCCAGGUACGUAUGUCCCAGCUCAGGGGGAGGUGAGGAAAAGCGGCCAGGGUCACAGUGAGGGCUGGGACUGGGGAAGGGAUGUCUGUGCCCCAGUGCCCUUCCAUUGUCCCCUGCCGCAGUGCCUGGUGGCUGGUGCCCAUGGUCGGAGUGGACGCCAUGCUCCCAGCCCUGCAGGGGCCAGACGAGGACCCGCUCCAGGGCCUGCGCUUGCCCCGCCCCUCAGCACGGGGGCGCCCCGUGUCCCGGGGAAGCAGGGGAGGCAGGGGCCCAGCAUCAGAAGGAGACCUGCCCCAGCUCACCCGAGUGCCCAGGUGAGAUGCCCCCACUUGUCUGCUCAAAUCUCAAUAGGCCGGGCACCUCCUAGGCCUCCUAGGGCAGUUGAUGCUGUCUUCCCGGCACAGUGGACGGAGCCUGGAGCCCAUGGGGACUGUGGUCUUCCUGUGACGCGUGCCUGGGGCAGUCCCAUCGGAGCCGGGUGUGUAUCUGGCCCCCCACCCCUGAGGGAGGCAGGCCCUGCCCUGGGGGCCACAGGCAGAGUCGCCCCUGCCAGGACAAUUCCACAAAAUGCACAGGUGAGGGCUUCUGUAGAGGUCGGGGAGGGUCCCUUGGAAGGCUUGGGAGACAUGGCCUCUGGCCUUUGUCCCCAGUAUACGCAUGCAUGUCACUUUCUUUGAGAGGCAGCAUUUAGAUCCCUUACCUUGUGGUCCUGGGACGAGGUGGAAAGUCAGGCGGCUGGGGGUGGUGAGGCAGGAGGGCUUGUCCCCUGAGUCCUGGGAUCCUGCAGGAUGGGCCCCUGCUCAGCGUCUGCCCUCUCUGCUUCCUUCCCGUCACAGAGUGUGGGGGUGGCCAGGGUCUUCUCCCCUGUGGGCGGCCCUGUCCCCGCUCCUGUCAGGACCUGUCUCCCGGGAGUGCGUGCCAGCCGGGCUCGACGGGCUGCCAGCCCAGCUGCGGGUGCCCCCCUGGCCGGCUGUUCCAGGACGGCCUCUGUGUGCCUCCUGCCCUCUGCCGCUGCCAGUACCAGCCUGGAGCCAUGGGUCAGUGCUUCCCUCCGUGCUCUCCCCAUUUCUCCCGAGCACCGCGGUGCCCGCCGGCCUGGCCUCUGCCUGUCUGGCUCCGGAGCCCAGCCUGGGCUGCAGGAUGUCGCUCCAGGCGUUAGUGUCUCGUGCAUCCCCCCGCAUCCCUGCUCCAGGCUGGGGCUUCCACCUCCCAGGCCCAGGAUCUGGGGCACCGUGGGGUGUAGGCUGAUAGAGAGGGAGGUAGAAGGCAGUGGGAUAGGAGGAAGGGUUGAGGGUGCGGGGCCCGCUGAGCUGUCUGGGGUCCCACCCCGACCCGUGCCCUCAGGGAUCCCUGAGAACCAGAGCCGGUCAGCAGGGCCUGGGCUCAGCUCCUGGGAGAGCCUGGAACCCGGAGAGAUGGUGACCGGGCCCUGUGACAACUGGUGAGUCAAGAGGAGCAGGGAGGGGGUGGGCUGCAGAGCCGGGCAGUGGGGGCUCUUGUGGGAGUUGGCCAGGGUGCUGUCUUCUGAGGCCCCCUCCCUUGUCCCCAGCACCUGUAUGGAGGGCGUCCUGCAGUGCCAGGAGGUGCCCAGCUGCCCUGGGCCUGGGGUGUGGGGCUCCUGGGGCCCCUGGGAGGACUGCAGUGUUUCUUGCGGGGGAGGGGAGCAGCUCCGCUCCCGGAGGUGUGCCCGGCCCCCCUGCCCUGGGCCUGCCCGCCAGAGCCGCACCUGCCGCACCCAGGUCUGCAGAGGUGAGCCCCGACCGGGGUCUGCCCUUGACGGAUUCCCAUGUUGGCCUCUGAUGCUGACUCAUAGGUGCCUUUGACCUCUUCCGUCCCAUCCCCCCACACUGCCCUUUCCCGGGGCCAGUGAUGGGCAUGUGGAGGAGGAAGUAGCCAGAUUCAGGGAGGGUGUGGGUGGUGUGGGAGGGUGUGACAUUGGCCCUGAGGGGCACAACCCAGGGAAGGUAUUGUCUGCACAACUGGGGAGCUGUGGGAAGGUGGGUACUGGGGUGAGUAAGCAGGCCGCGGGGUGAGCACAGAAGUAGCCAUUGAGGGCAGUGCAGGCCAGAGCUGGGCACUGACCCGAGUGUUGUCACAGAGGCUGGCUGCCCGGCUGGACGUUUGUACCGGGAAUGCCGGCCCGGCGAGGGGUGUCCCUUCUCCUGUGCUCACGUCACUCGCCAGGUGGGCUGCUUCUCCACCGGCUGUGAAGAAGGCUGCCACUGCCCCGAGGGCACCUUCCAGCACCACCUGUCCUGUGUCCAGGUCAGAACCCACUCAGCCAGGAGCCCAAGACCCUCCCCUCCCUUCCCCUCCCCUGCCUUUCCUCCCCCUCCCCUGCAGCUGCUCACCUCUGCAGACUCUGUGGCCUCUGGACAGCUCCCCGCUUCCUCAUGUGACCCCAGGCAAGCACGGUCCUAUGAGACUGUCUGUGUGAGUCAGGCAGGGGCCGAGCUCCCAGAGCAGACAGCUGAGGCCGUGCAGGCUCUGGACGUCGCUGGGUCCCUGGAGUGGGGAGCUUGUCUGGGCUCCUGCUCUUUCAGCAGCCGCUGUUCCUGGCUCUCGACUCCAGCACGGAGUUGAGUCCUCUUGGCCAGGACUGAGGUGUGGCCAGGUGCCCCCUCUGGCUUCUUGCAGGCUGGGACAGGCAGGCUGGGACAGGCAAUCGUGGGUCCUCGCGGUCCCCCUUUCCCUGCCAGACCCCUGCGGGGAAGCAUACCCAACCUCCCCUCUGCCUGGCCCCAGACUCCUCGUCUCCCGCUGUGGGGUCUGGACAGCAGGCCAGUGUCAGCUCUGCUCUGCCAAGCUCUGUGGGCACGUGGGGAUUUCCUUCCCAGUCUUUAAUCCUACCUGAUCGUGAAGCCGGCGUCCAGGGGCUUCCCCCGGCCAGAGUUCCAGCCAUACUCAGAAAGGUCUGAGCAGCCACCUGGUCCCAUUUGCUUGACUUAGAGCUGAUGACACUGAGGGGGCCCCAGGGAGGGAAAGGGACACGCUGAGUCUUGCAGUUAUUGGCAAAGCUAGGGAUCGGGCGUCUGAUUCCUGGCUGAGGCCCUUUCCGCCUGAGUGCUCCCUCCAAGUCCUGCCCCCUGGGGGCCUCCUCUGGUCCUGCCUGUGUCCCAGCUGAGAUCUGUAUGCAGGAAAGCUCCUGGCCAUUACAGGUCUAGCUCAGAGGCUACUAGGCUCUCAGGUUCACACCCCUGACUCAGGGAAACGGCUCCCCUUGAUCCAGGGAAUGCUCUUCUGGUGCCCAGAGCCCCCCUGAAACCUCACAUGUCCUCCCCCCACCCCCUCGCCCAAGGAGGUGCAGAGGGCUGGCACCUGACCUGUGCAAUUGCCUUUUCUUCUCCCUCCCACCCGCCAGGAGUGCCCCUGUGUGUUGACCGCCUUGCUGCUGCAGGAGCUGGGGGCUGCCGGCACUGACCCGGGGGCUCACUCACCCAUUUUGGGAGAGGGCGGUCAGCCCCUUGGGCCUGGAGAUGAACUGGGCUCAGGCCAGACCCUCCGUACAGGCUGUAGCAACUGGUGAGGGGGACGGUGAGGGUGGGGGAGAGAUUUGGAGUCAAGGGAGGGGGAGGCGUUGGCUGCCCUGGCCCUGCCUGGCCUGGGUAACCUUGGCUGUGUCUCCUGCUCUUUGGGAUGGAGACGCUUGCCAACAUCCCUUUCUCUCAGGGUCUAUCCUGCCCAGCCCCUCACCCCCAUGCUGUUUCCCUAGCUCUUGUGUGCAUGGGAGGCUGUCUUGUUCAGUGGGCAACUGCUCUAAGGCCGCUGAUGGCUUCAGUCCCUGGGGGCCGUGGGGCCCGUGUUCCCGCUCCUGUGGUGGGCUGGGCACCCGCACCCGCAGCCGCCAGUGUGUGCAAGCCUCACUCGCCCCGGGCAGCCAGGGCUGCCGAGGGACCCUCCAGGAGCUCAAGUACUGCCCCAGCCCAGACUGCCCAGGUGAGGGAAGUGGGAAGGGAGAGUCUGGCCAAAUACACCUCAACCCUUCCGUUGUCCUUUCCUGUCUCUGCCCAUCCGAGUUGCUGUCUCUGGAUCUCUCUUCCUCGCCUGCUAGCUCUGUGUGUCUCUUCGAUUCCGGUGUAACCAACGUUUCUGGAGCUCUUGCCAAAUGCACCACGCUGUGUGUGUUAGGGGGAUAGUGAGGACUCUGACCUUGGAAUCCAGGGGCUCAGAUAACCCAUUUCAGCAUGUGGUGAGCCCUGUAGGAGGGCGCACAUGCUAUGGAAGAUUGGGGAGGUUGAGAAUUCUCCUGGAGGGUCAGUGUAGGAGGGCUUCCUGGGGAGGCAGCAUGUGGGGUUUGAGGAGGGAGAGGACCUUGACAAUCAUUGGAGGGGAAGGAAUGCCAGGUAGCAGGAGCGGCUUGAGCCAAGGCCUUGCUGCCAUGAGGAAGUACUGUGCUUGGGGCCCAGAGGGUCGGUGGGAGACCAAGCUGACGAGGGGCUGAACCAGAUAGUGAUGGGUUUGGAACGUGGCCACCAGCUUCAGGUUUGGUCCUGGUGCGGUGCAGGCUCAGAAACACUGAGCAGGAUUCUUCUUUGGCACAGGGGCUGAAGGGUCCACGGUGGAGCCAGUGACCAGCCUUCCAGGUAGCCAGACUCCUUGGGUCCUGGCCCCAGACUGCCUGCACCCUUGCACAUGGCCUCCCUUUGGGAAGAACAAGCCCAGGGCCUCCUCCCUUCCCAGCCCUGCUUCCUGGGAGGCCUGGAGCCCAGGGUUGACUCGUCAGGAGGUGCCCCUCCCUCCUCUCCCCUCAGGCGGCUGGGGCCCAUGGUCUCCGUGGUCCCCGUGUUCUCGCACCUGCACAGACCCCGCUCACCCUGCUUGGCGUGGCCGCGCUCGCCUCUGCCUGGCAAACUGCACCGGGGGGGACACUUCACAGGAGCGCCCUUGCAACCUGCCCUCCUGCACAGGUGCGCCUUCCAGUCUUGACCUCUGACCCUGACCUAUGUCCAAACCACGGCCAUCCCGUCUAAUCCCAGCAUCCUCCCUCAAACAGCUCAUUCUGGCUCCCAGCCCUUGUCCCACAUCCAGCCCCCAACAUCUAAUACUCCUGAAGCAAAUCCUGAACUCUCAGCCUGACACCUAAUCAUGAACCCGUGUGUGACUCUGGACCCUGGGUGCUUUGUGUCAGCCCGGCAACUGUUGGGGAGCCACCGCCAGCACCCAAGAAAACCCUCACUUGUGUGUGUACUGAACAGUCCCCCGAAAUUCCCAUCCAAAUCCCUCAGUACCCUGUGAGUCCGUGAGUCUGGGGCGUAGUUGCCAAAGCCCCACAACAGCCAGUGUUAGAUCCUAAACAGGAGCCCAAAGGUCUGGAUGAGGUCACGGCUGGCCCUGGCAGACGAGGAGGUCUGCCCCCGAGCAGAGCGGGGCGGGCUCCAGCUCAGCUUUGUCUGGUCCUGUCCUGGCCCGCAGAGCUGCCGCUGUGCCCCAGCCCUGGCUGCGUGGCCGGGAACUGUUCCUGGACGGCCUGGGCCCCGUGGGAACCUUGCUCCCGAAGCUGCGGGGUGGGCCAGCAGCGCCGGCUGCGGGCGUACCACCCCCCGGGGCCCGGCGGGCACUGGUGCCCUGACAUCCUCACCGCUUACCAGGAGCACCGCUUCUGCAGCCUGCGGGCUUGCCCAGGUGAGGCCGGCCGCCGAGGACCAGGACGCGCCCUUCCCUGGCAUCAUGUGCCCCUGUGGCGCUUCCAUCUCCGUGCACGACCCUGCCCCAGGCGCCUGGUGCGUGGGGGGCCCCCGCUGCCUGAGCCAGAUCCCUCACCUGGCCCUUCUCUUUUCCACGCAGUGCCUGGAGGCUGGUCACGCUGGAGCCCCUGGUCCUGGUGUGACCGGAGCUGUGGGGGGGGCCGGUCCCUGAGGAGCCGCAGCUGCUCGAGCCCCCCGCCCAAGAACGGGGGUGCCCCCUGCGUGGGGGAGAGGCACCACGUGCGGCUCUGCAAUCCCGGGCCCUGUGGUAUGGCGGUGGGGACAUCCCGCACAGCUCUUCCCACCCCCACCUCUAAUUGCGUUCCCGCGACACGUUGGGAUGGAGACGCUCGCUGGCCAGCUGAGAAAACCCUGAGGCCCGCGGGGGGUGGACGGUGGGAUCUGGGCACUGGGCGAGGACCUGCCCGGGGUGAGCUGCCCACCCCCAGCUGCACUAGAACUCAUUCUCGCCAUCUUGUCCAUCCUCCUGUUCCUGGAGAAUCACCCAGCCCCGUCAAGGUUUUCGGAGGAUUUGAGGGUUAUGGUCGUGAGUGCACUUGCACCUGGGAUUGGGCUGAGCCAGACAGGCUCCUCCCAGCUUCAGCUCCUUCUGAGCUCACCGACCCCAUGGACCUUGGUCCCUCUAGGGCCUUCCAAUACUAUUAGGACACCCCCCCCCCAUCCCCUCCAGGUGAACACAAAGCAGCCACGUAGGUGAGCAUGUUGGCUUCUUAGAUGCACAAAUUUAGUCCAGCUCGACGACAUUUAUUGGGUGCCAGGCUAGGUGCCGGGAACCCCCAGGUAGGUGAGAGGAACUCCCUGUCACUCAGAAUGUCCCCAUUCCAGGGCCUCCCCAAGGCCCCAUGUUUCUAUGGGCACCAACAUGGGGAGAAGGAUGGGAGUACAGCUUCGUGGAGGUAGGAGCGGUUCCCAGGCAGGCAGGAAGAGGGUUGCUGGUGCUCAGGGCCCUCUUGACUCUGGUCCUCCCCAUGUGCUCAGAGCAGGGCUGCCCAGCAGGCAUGGAGAUGGUCAGCUGUGCCAACCGCUGCCCCCGCCGCUGCUCAGACCUCCAGGAGGGGGUCGUGUGUCAGGACGGCCAGGACGGCCAGGCCUGCCAGCCGGGCUGCCGCUGCUCCGAGGGUGGGUGCUGCCCUGGCCCCUGGGCACGUCACAGCGACUCAGUGGGAAGGCAGGUGGGACCCCGGGUGCCUGCACAGCUCUGGAGGGCUGCCUCCCCGCAGGCUUCCUGGAGCAGGACGGAGGCUGUGUGCCGAUCGGGCACUGCGAGUGUACGGAUGCCCAGGGCCACAGCUGGGCCCCAGGGAGCCAGCACCGGGAAGCCUGCCUCACCUGCACUUGCCGGGCCGGGCGGCUUUCCUGCACGGCUCAGCCCUGCCCACCGCCUGCCCACUGCGCCUGGAGCCGCUGGUCAGCCUGGAGUCCCUGCAGCCACUCGUGUGGGCCCGGAGGGCAGCAGAGCCGCUUCCGGUGUGUAUGGGGCUGGGCCAAGCUAGCGUCACCUCCCCCAACCCCGGUCCGCCACGCCUGGACGCGGUCUCCCUCUCUUAUGCAGAGCUCCUGGAUUCUGCCCCCCAGGGGCAUGCCCACUCUGUGCCCUGGCCCCACCUUUGUCCCUGGUCAUCCUUGCCUUUAGCCACCUCCACGCCCACCCCAGGCUUUCCCAUCUGGUGUCCCACCAGGAGGUGGAGGAGUGAUGAAGGGCCCUGGGCCAUCACUCACCUCCUGUGCCCUGGGCCCCACAAAGGUCCUCCACGUCUGGCCCAUGGGCUCCAGAGUGCCGGGAGGAGCAGUCCCAGAGCCGGCCCUGCCCUCAGCCCCCAUGCCCACCCCUGUGCCUGCACGGUGCCCGCCUCCACACCUUGGGGGACAGCUGGCUGCAGGGCGAGUGCCAGCAGUGGUAAGUCUGGGCAGAGGCAGGGGUGGAGCGGGGACGGGGGCGGAUGGCAGUGUCCCUGAGUCUGGUCUCCUCCCUUCAGCUCCUGCACCCCGGAGGGCAUCAUAUGUGAAGACAUCGAGUGUGCAGGUCUGGAGUUUAUGUCCCGCUCCCACCUCCCCCCACCUCUGUUUGCCGCGUGUCUCAUAUUUCCCUCCCACCCCUACUUCCAGCCGCCACCUCCUGUGCCACGGAGGUCCCGACCAGCCAUCGGGACCUUCUCUGACCUUACUUGUGCCCUCCCACAGUACCCAGGGCUUGGACGCUGUGGUCCCCUUGGUCUGAAUGCCCCGUCUCCUGUGGAGGUGGAAACCAGGUUCGCACCCGGGACUGCGUGGCCUCGACCCCUCACCGCAGCGGGGCCCCCUGCCUGGGCCCUGGUACCCAGACCCAGAGCUGUGGACGGCAGCCUUGCCUGGGGCUGCUGGACGCCUGCUCCUGGGGCCCCUGGGGGCCCUGUUCCCGCAGCUGCGGCCCCGGCCUGGCCUCCCGCUCUGGGUCCUGCCCCUGCCCGCUGGCCAGAGCCGACCCCACCUGCAACAGCACCUUCCUGCACCUGGACACCCGGGCCUGCUACCCGGGGCCCUGCCUGGGUGAGUGCGCACAGGAAAAAAUACAGGGAGUAGCAUGUUUUCCCAAACCCCAGAUUUCCAACCCCCCCCCCCCGCCCGAGAUAUCCAUCUAUCUCCCUGAUAUUUGAUCUCGUUUCUUUCCCCUUCCCACCAUCUUUUCCUCUGAGCCCUUUGGGAUGUGACCCUUGCUGCUGAGUGACAGGGAACACGGCGAAUUAGGACUUGUGUGAACUCUUGGCUCCCUCUUGCCCUUUUCCUGCGCAGGGCGUUGGCCAGGGCUGGGAUGAGAGUAGAGGGCAGGGGAGGGGCGGGAAGGGAGGAGAGAAGCUGGAGGGGCCUGGCUGGCAUCCCCCCACCUUGGUCCCCAGAGGAGUGUGUGUGGAGCAGCUGGAGCAGCUGGACGCGAUGCUCCUGUCGGGUGCUGGUGCAGCAGCGCUAUCGGCACCAGGGACCAGCGCCCCGAGGGGCGGGGACGGGGGCGGGCCCCCCCUGCACACGACUGGACGGCCACUUCCGGCCUUGCCCCCUCGGCAACUGCUCUGGUGAGAACCCCGGAGCCGGAGGCCGGAGAGCUGAGCCCUGCCCUUGCCCGCACUGACCCCCGCUCUCAGCAGCCCCGUGACCCCCAUGCCUCACGUCCCACCCCUCCCCGCUCCACUGCGAUCUCCCCACUUUGUAGCUGCAGGCUUUGUCCACUUGCGGCUGCUCCCAGGCCCGGAAGGUCUGGCCCACCUCUCGUUGUGGCCACCCUCUCAAUCUCUGCCCCCCUGGCUCCCAUCUGCCAACCUCUGGAGCACCUGCCAGGCCCCUCGCUCCCCGCAGGCCCUAUCCUCCGUGCAGCUACCUGGCUCUCCAAGCCCCGACCAUCAUGACCCUUCCCUAGAGACAGCCACAGGGGCCGAGUGGGCGUUAGACGGGGCAGCACUGGUCAGUCCUUACUGGCAGCCUGGGGCCAGGCUUACACUCUUACGAGGAGGCCCCGAGGGGCCUUGAUGGGACCGUGCACUGUGUGCUCCAGGCUUGGGGCGGGGGCAGGUGGAGGGUGUCUCUGGGCUGCCCCCCCACCAGCCUGCUGGCCUCUGUUCCCCCCCAGAGGACAGUUGCACACCUCCCUUUGAGUUCCAGGCCUGUGGCUCCCCCUGUGCCGGGCUCUGUGCCACGCACCUGAGCCGUCGGCUCUGCCAGGACCUGCCACCCUGCCAGCCUGGCUGCUACUGCCCUGAGGUGAGGGGCGGAGCCAGAGGAGAUGCCCCAGGAGAAGCGGGUCUCGGCCCACACUCCUGCCUUCCUUCUCUCUGCGAUGCCUGUGGCGACACCCCUCCCCACGAUGCCUCUUAAGGGUCCCUCACCUUCUGCCUCGUGCCCGUGUGCCCAUCCAUUUGCUCGGCAACAUGCACGUGCCCCUGCUGUGAGCACUCACACUACUGGCACUCGGGGACAGAGAUGGCUGCCACACAGCUCUGUCCCUGUGUGCCCUUCUGCGCAGGGGCUGCUGGAGCAGGCUGGGGGCUGCAUUCCCCCAGAGCAGUGUAGCUGCCUACACAUCACAGGGGAAGGAGCCAGGGUGACUCUGGCUCCCGGGGACCGCCUGCAGCUGGGCUGCAAAGAGUGGUGAGUUAAGGGGGCGGGGAGGCAGCGUCAGAGGGCUGGGGCCAGGGAAUGGGGGGGCAGGUGGCCCCACAGGGAAAUCGCCCUGGCCUGGACCCAACCCCAACCUCAUCCUGCUCCAAAUGAGCCCAGAGCUCAGGCCACCCCUACGUGAGCCCCACCAGCCACCUCUCUGGGCUGAGUCUGGUCUCCCCAGUCUUACCCCGACCACCCCCUCCCACAGUGAAUGCCGGCGUGGGGAGCUGAAGUGCACCAGCCAGGGCUGUCAAGGUAACGCUGCCCUGGAGAGACCCUAACUGUCCCCAUUUGCCCAGGAUUGGAAGGUUUUCUGGAUCUGGGACCAGGACAGUCCCAGACAAACCGGGAUGUUUGGUCACCCUCCCCUGACCCUCCCAGCAACCUCCUGCAGCCUUUCCUGUUUCCAGCCCUUCCUGGUCAUAACUGGGUCUCCUCCCUCCCCCUCUACUGGGGCUUGUGGUCUCAGGGAGGGUCACUGGGAAGGGUGCCCACUCGCUGCCCUUUCUAGGUCUUCUGCCUCUGAGCGGGUGGUCCGAGUGGUCACCCUGUGGGCCUUGCCUGCCCCCUGGUGUGCUGGCCCCCGCCUCCAGGACUGCCCUAGAGGAGCGCCGGUCUCAGCACCCAGCUGGCCUCUCCCCGACCUUGGCCCCCUUGCUGGCUUCGGAGCAGCACCGCCAUCGCCUCUGUUUGGACCCGGAGACUGGGAGGCCAUGGGCUGGGGACCCAGACCUGUGCACUGCACCACUCAGCCAGCAACGCCUCUGCCCGGACCCUAGGGCCUGCCAUGGUAAUACCGAGGGGCAGAGACCAACAGGGCAGGAGGGAGCCUGAGAUGAGAGAGUGGAGGGAGGGGUACCUGGCCAGGUAGGCCUGGGCCAUGUUGUUUAUUUCAGUAGCCAGGCGCUUAACAAGCCUGCUAAGCCUCCUGCUUGCCCCCAGGGCCUGCGGGAUUUGGGGGUAUUUGGCGAUCUGGCGCUGGAGGGGGGGCGGGCCGCAGCAGGAAGGAUCCCUGCAGCCGAUGAAAGGGGAGGAAGGGGGCUUUGGGUGCUCCGGGCCUAGCAGAGUGUCUGUAGGGCUGGAGCCCAAGGCCUUGGGGUGGGAGCAAGAAGCCAGGGCGGGGCCCUGGGCGCUGACUUCCAUUUUACCUCCCCAGACUUAUGCCAGUGGAGUCCUUGGGGGCCCUGGAGCCCCUGUCAGGUGUCGUGCAGUGGGGGCUUCCGGCUACGCUGGAGGGAGGCAGGGGGCCCCCCUGGAGGAGGCUGCCGGGGGCCUUGGGCUCAGACUGAGAGCUGCAACGUGGAGCCCUGCCCAGGUAACCCCCAUCCUGGCAUCUGGAGGCGGGGCCAAGGACUGUAACACGGGAGAUAGCACCUGAUGAGGAGGUGGCCUCUGCUCCUGGAGGCGUGCCCUGGAGGGCAGGGUGCUGUCCUGGGGGCCCAAAAGUCGGUCCCCAACACAGACUCCUACCUUCUGGUCCUCAGGGGAGAGCUGUGAAGCCCAGGACACCGUGCCCACCCUUGACUGUGCCAACCAGUGCCCUAGAAGCUGUGUGGACCUCUGGGACCGCGUGCAGUGUCUGCAGGGACCAUGCCGUCCAGGUGGCCGGGCCACGCCCACAGCCCAGCCUGGGAGCCCUAGGGCCUCAGACCAGAGCAGCUUGCUUCGCUGAUCCCUACCAGAGAGCAUGUGACCUGCGGGCGGGGACAUGUUACAGGAUCAGGGGUUAUAGGGCAGCAAAGUGGAUCCUUGGGUCACUUUCAGCACCUGGGUAGGGGUCCUGCGUAGAGCGAGCCUUACCUAACACAGGCUUUGUCUGUGAGGACGUUCUGGCAGCCUCAGGGGUCCCUGGGGUGGGGCCCACACAGGGUGGGCUGGAGUGACCCCUUCCUGUGCUCCAGCAGUGGAAACAGUGUGGAGACCGGGUCAAGUGGGGACUCGGGGGGCUGGGGUAGGGGAGGGUGCUCCAGGGUCAGCCUGAAGCUCCGGACCCCAUCUGGCUGCCAGAGGGACCCAUGAUGUGUGCCCGAACCUUGCUUGUCCUCCCCACCCCCCUCAGGCUGCCGCUGCCCCCCUGGCCAACUGGUGCAGGAUGGGCGCUGUGUGCCCAUCUCCUCCUGCCGCUGUGGCCUCCCCAGCCCCAAUGCCUCAUGGGUGGUGGCCCCAGCCGAGGUGGUACAGCUGGACUGCAAAAACUGGUAUGGCUGCCCACUGGUGGCCAAGCAGGGGAUGGGGAGUUUUAGGUGGGAGGCUUGGGACAGGUCAGGGUGGAGGGCGUUAGCGGGAAGCAAAGGCUCUGUUCCCCUUGACUUGUGCCCUUGACCCCUGUCCGCAGCACCUGUACCAACGGGUCCCUAGUGUGCCCACGCCAUGAGUGCCCAGUCCUUGGGCCUUGGUCAGCCUGGAGCAGCUGCUCUGCUCCCUGUGGUGGGGGCAGCAUGGGGCGACGUAGGAGCUGUGAGGAGGGUCCUAUAGGGGCGCCAUGCCAGGCCCAGGACACAGAGCAACGGCAGGAAUGUAACCCGCAGCCCUGCCCUGGUGAGCACCUGGGGUGGGGGAGUGAGGGGGGAGCCUCCCUGCCCUCUGGUGCUGCUGAGCUCGGCCGGCGUUCAACAGCGUGGGCGGUGGGUCCCGAGGCGGUCCCCUCCCUGGUACUCCACCUCACCAUCUGUGCGCUCCCCCCAGAGUGCCCGCCUGGCCAGGUGCCCAGUGCCUGUGCCGCUUUGUGCCCACGCCUCUGCUCGCAUCUGCAGCCUGGUGCCCUCUGUGCGCAGGAACCCUGCCGGCUCGGCUGUGGCUGCCCCGGAGAGCAGGUAUGGACAGUGCCCUGACUGCCGUAUGGGGGGGCAGGCAGGUGGGGGGCAGAGAAGUGUGGUGUGAGCAGAACUGAGCCCGCGCCUUCCUGCCGCAGCUGCUGCACAAUGGCACGUGUGUGCCCCCUGCGGCGUGCCCCUGCACCCAGAUCUCUCUGCCCUGGGGCCUUACCUUGACUCUUGAAGAACAGGCCCGGGAGCUUCCCCCAGGAACUGUGCUCACCUGGAACUGCACGCGCUGGUGAGGGCCCCGGGCAGGGGGGACAGGGGGAGGAGGGAGCUAGGGCAGGGAGGGGGUGGAGGGCAGCAUUGCUGAGAAGGGGGGUGGGGAGGAGGGCACCGGAGGCGUCCGAACACGUGCUUCUGUCUUCCCAGUAUCUGCCAAGAUGGAGCCUUCAACUGCUCCCCAGCUGACUGUCGUGGUGAGAUGUGGCUGUCUAGGCCCCUGCUGGUCCUUCCAAAGCCAGGGUGGGGUUGGCCCCGAUGAGGGCAGAGGGCGCUGCCUGCCCUAGGCAAAGCUGUCUCUCCCAAGAAGCCCCUUCCUUGCUCCGUCCACACUGGUGUUGGGGGCAUUCCUGUGAGCACACGGCUGUGAGUGAUGCAGGAAGUGGAGGGUCUUUCCCUGCAGAUGAGGAAGCAAAGGCUGAGGGUGAGCUAAAGUAGGACCCUUGUCUGGCAUCUGCCCUGUGCUGUUUUACCCCCAUCUGAUCAAAGUCAACAGGCGUUUGCUAAGGGCUCACAGGUGCCCAGCUCGGGCACACUGGGCUCUGUGUGGAUUCAGAGGCACACAGGCCUGGUGAGUCCUGAGCAGCCCCAGUCUGGCUGCUGAGGGCCAGCUCACCCACCGGAACAGGUAGGGACAGGAGACAGUUUCUGGCUCACUGACCAGCAGGCUGCACCCACAGGACUGGAAAUCGGUGCCAUGAAUGGAGAGGUCAGGGUGGACAGGACUGGUCAGGGGAGGCUUCCUGGAGAAGGCCAGACUCGAGUUAGGCCCCGUUAGUAUUUGGAAGGUGGAUAAGAGCAGACGGGCAUGUUUGGAGGCCUAGAGGCCCAGAGCCAGCCGAGUGGACAGCACUGGGAAGGCAGGAGGGACUCUAGGGGUGUCUGGUGUGGGAGGGGGGAGAAUCGAAGCCGGACCCAGGGCUGACCUGAGUGGUGGUGGUGGUGGUGGGGUCUUCCCUGGCAGAGUGCCCCUCCGGGGAAAUGUGGCAGCAGGUGGCCCCUGGGGAGCCAGGGCCCUGCGAGCGGACGUGCCGGGAGCCCAAUGCCACGGAGACCCAGGGCAGCUGCGGUGUGGGGCAGGCCCCAGGCUGUGUGUGCCAGCACGGACACUUCCGCAGCCAGGCGGGCCCGGGCCCCUGCGUGCCCAUAGACCACUGCGAGUGCUGGCACCGUGGGCGUCCCCACCCGGUGAGACACUGUAGCCCCUCCGGGCCACCCAGCCCUCCCCCACCCCCGCCCCCCUCCACUGGCUCCUCCCCCUGUGCCAGGAUCUGCAGCAGCAGACAGCUCGGCCAUCAGCCAUCACCCAUCACACGGGGACAGUCUCCAGGCCCCAUCAGCCCACCUCCCUCCCGAGACUCUUGUCCCUGACUUUGGUCUCUGGCCCCUGUCCUGACUGGUUUCAGGGAUGAGGGAUUGGCGGGGGGUGGGGGAGGGUGUAGUAUAGAAAAGUCUAACUGGCAGAGAUGGGUAGAGAUGGACGGGAGGGUUCUCCCCUCUCCCCAGCCUGGAUCCGAAUGGCAGGAGGCCUGUGAGAGCUGCCGCUGCCUCCGUGGGAGGAGUGUCUGCACCCAGCACUGCCCCCUCCUCACCUGUGCCCAGGUACCCGCCUGCAGCCCUGCUGCCCUCCUUCCUGGGUCCCUCCCCAGAGGCUGGUCUUAGGGCCUUGAGCAGGCAGUGCUGGGGCCCUGGGGUCAUCCUCCUGAGUGCACUGGGGACCACUCCCUCUGCAGGGCGAGGUGACCGUGCAGGAACCAGGGAGCUGCUGUCCCACUUGCCGCCGAGAGGCUCCGGGUAUGCCGGGGACCUGGGGCACUUCCUGCCAUGCCUCUCCCUGCUCUGGGCCCUUCUCCCAA
rnacentral:lncRNA from 1 species